rnacentral:rRNA from 1 species
AACGAACGCUGGCGGCAUGCCUAACACAUGCAAGUCGAACGAAGCCUUCGGGCUUAGUGGCGCACGGGUGCGUAACGCGUGGGAAUCUGCCCUUUGGUUCGGAAUAACAGUUGGAAACGACUGCUAAUACCGGAUGAUGACGAAAGUCCAAAGAUUUAUCGACAGAGGAUGAGCCCGCGUAGGAUUAGCUAGUUGGUGUGGUAAAGGCGCACCAAGGCGACGAUCCUUAGCUGGUCUGAGAGGAUGAUCAGCCACACUGGGACUGAGACACGGCCCAGACUCCUACGGGAGGCAGCAGUGGGGAAUAUUGGACAAUGGGCGAAAGCCUGAUCCAGCAAUGCCGCGUGAGUGAUGAAGGCCCUAGGGUUGUAAGGCUCUUUUACCCGGGAUGAUAAUGACAGUACCGGGAGAAUAAGCCCCGGCUAACUCCGUGCCAGCCGCCGCAGUAA